UGGUUCACUAGAUCGUAUGAAUUACAUGGAUAACUGUGGUAAUUCUAGAGCUAAUACAUGCAACCAGCUCGGCUGCCUUGUGCAGCGAGCGCAGUUAUUAGAACAAAACCAAUCCGGCUUUGGUCGGUUGAUUGGUGACUCUGAAUAACCGAAGCAGAGCGCUAAGGUCUCGUACCGGCGCCAGAUCUUUCAAGUGUCUGACUUAUCAGCUUGUUGCGAGGUUAUGUUCCUCGCAAGGCGUUGACGGGUGACGGGGAAUCAGGGUCCGAUUCCGGAGAGGGAGCCUGAGAAACGGCUACCACAUCCAAGGAAGGCAGCAGGCGCGCAAAUUACCCACUCCCGGCACGGGGAGGUAGUGACGAAAAAUAACGAUGCGAGAGCUUUUAGCUUUUCGUAAUCGGAAUGGGUACACUUUAAAUCCUUUAACGAGGAUCUAUUGGAGGGCAAGUCUGGUGCCAGCAGCCGCGGUAAUUCCAGCUCCAAUAGCGUAUAUUAAAGUUGCUGCGGUUAAAAAGCUCGUAGUUGGAUCCGGGCAGUCGACGCGCGGUGCGCCUUACGGCGUUACUGCGUGCUCGUCGCCACUAUCCGGCCUUGUCUUUCAUGUUCUUUACUGAGCGUGAUUGGCGACCGGGACGUUUACUUUGAAAAAAUUAGAGUGCUUAAAGCAGGCAUAUGGCCUUGCAUAAUGGUGCAUGGAAUAAUGGAAUAGGACCUCGGUUCUAUUUUGUUGGUUUUCGGAGCUCGAGGUAAUGAUUAAGAGGAACAGACGGGGACAUUCGUAUUGCGGCGUUAGAGGUGAAAUUCUUGGAUCGUCGCAA
rnacentral:rRNA from 1 species